AGACAGCGCUACGCGCUUCCUCAGCCCGAACGGCAUCGAAGUAACGACUGGAUAAAUCAAUCUUCUUAUUCCGAACUCACG
rnacentral:ncRNA from 1 species